UAAUUGGGAGAGAAAAUUGCC
rnacentral:miRNA from 1 species